rnacentral:lncRNA from 1 species
GACUAAAACAAAAAGGGUAAUUUAUCGUCAGCCCCCAAUUGUUUCGACAUUUAGCACCGUGCACUCACAUCUUUCGACCAUGUGCAUCACGCCCCCAUUUCCGUCUAUCUACCGUUAACUUAAUAGAAAAAAGGGUAAAAUGAUAAUUUUGUAAGAACGAACUCUUUUAUCCUUCGUUGCUUUUUAUUUUCUAUGUUUUGUUUUUCUUUUCUUUUUUUCUUCCCUUCCUCUUCUUCUUCCCGUCUUUAUUUUCUUCUUCUUCUUCUUCCUUUUUCUUCUUCUUCUUUUUUCUUCUCCUUCUCCUUUUUCUUCUUCUAGUCUUUUACUACUGCCGCCUGUUAGAGUGAUCAGCCACCGACUUGAAUCGACAACAACAAAAUGGUGCGCUGCAUGAUCUGUCACCGCUCGAAACCAUCGCCUCCGUUGUUGCAUGAAACCGCCGACGCCACCACUUGAAGCCGUCGCCGUCUCCGCCGCCUCUAUAAUUUGAUUUAAGGUUUGAAAUCUUUAGAUUUAGGAUUUUUGAUUCUUGGAUUCGUUUUUGUAAUAGACUUUUACAAUGAAAUUUACAGCAAGUGUUUUGUAUAAUUAGAUUAGGUUUCUUUAUUAUUGGAAUUUUUAUGUAAUCUGAUGAUGAUUGUGUGUUUGAUUUUCUUCUUUCCUUUUGGAAUCAUGCUCUGUUUCUCAUUUUGAAGUUUCCCGGUUUUACAAUUUUGUUAUGAUAAUGAAAUUUAAAAAAAAUCGUUUCAAUUUAAUUGUAAAAAAAUAUAAAAAUAAAUAUUGUUUUGAAAUUGACUUGUUGACAAUCUGCUCAUCCAUGUCUCUAAUGGAAAUGGUACCGUAACAAGGCUAAUUGAAAGCCCCAACUUUUUCUGUAUUUCCCCUUUGUUUAAUAUUGUAAUUAGUAAGAUCUGAAUCCAAGUAGUUUCCCAACCUUUUUGUGGUGUUUCUUUGACGGAUCAGCACUUGAAUCAUGAUGCCCGCUUUUAUCCUUCUUCUCAUCCUUGUCUUCGUCUUUAUCCUUACUUCGAUCCUUAUGGCGGUGCUUGUGCUUCUUAUGCUCUCUAUCCUUCUCCUUAUCUUUGUCUUUGUGCAUUUUUAUGCUUCCUCUCCUUGUCUUUGGACUCACAAGGGCAGGAACCCCCUUUUCUGCAGGAGGCAAAUCAACAAUAUUUA